rnacentral:rRNA from 1 species
ACAGGUGUUGCAUGGCUGUCGUCAGCUCGUGUCGUGAGAUGUUCGGUUAAGUCCGCUAACGAGCGCAACCCUCGCUGUGUGUUAUAUGUGUCACACAGGGACUGCUGGUAUUAAGCCGGAGGAAGGUGGGACGACGUCAAGUCAGCAUGACCUUUAUAUCCCAGGGCUACACACACGCUACAAUGGUCAGUACAAUGGGUUGCCAAGCCGCGAGGCGGAGCCAAUCCUAAAAAGCUGGCCUCAGUUCAGAUUGCAGUCUGAAACUCGACUGCAUGAAGUCGGAGUUGCUAGUAAACGCAGGUCAGCUAUACUGCGUUGAAUACGUUCCCGGGGCUU